rnacentral:lncRNA from 1 species
UCAACGCAGUAUCUAGAACCAAUGACCGGAACUCUGCCAUCUGCAUCCCCACUGAACAGUUUUCGAAACACAGGUCAAAGAAAACAUGUCAUAAGGUCUACUUUUUUUGUUGUCGUGUAGAUACCAUGUGAAUUAUCCAAAAACUAAACAAAAUUAUAUAUCCCUUGUUUGGUUUGUUUUAAAUUUCUAAUAAUAUAUAUAUGUGUACAGCAAACCUGUAGAUCCAUAUCCUGAGACCUGCUUUGAUGAGUUUGGUGUAAAUUGGCAGAACAGAUGCCACAGUGUAGUUGUAGUAGGUAUUCAAUAUCGAAUCACUGCAAUUGAUUAAUAAUUAAAAUCCAUGAUUCAAUGAAUUUUGAAUUUUGAAUUCCACCCACCUGCAGACUUUCCAUUUUCCUGCUAGAUCUGCAUGCAUUGAUCUCUUUACAUCAUCUCUGUUGAAGUAUGCUUCUGUAUAUGAUUCGAAACAUGGAUCGUAGCCG